rnacentral:rRNA from 1 species
CCUACGGGAGGCAGCAGUGAGGAAUAUUGGUCAAUGGGCGCGAGCCUGAACCAGCCAAGUCGCGUGAGGGAAGACGGUCCUAUGGAUUGUAAACCUCUUUUGUCGGGGAGUAAAAGACGCCACGCGUGGCUUUUCGUGAGUACCUUAUGAAAAAGCAUCGGCUAACUCCGUGCCAGCAGCCGCGGUAAUACGGAGGAUGCGAGCGUUAUCCGGAUUUACUGGGUGUAAAGGGAGCGUAGACGGCAAGGUAAGUCAGAAGUGAAAGGUCGGGGCUCAACCCUGUACAUGCAUUUGGAACUGGGAGGCUAGAGUACAGGUGAGGUAGGUGGAAUUCCUGGUGUAGCGGUGAAAUGCGUAGAUAUUAGGAAGAACACCGAGGGCGAAGGCAGCUUACUAAACUGUAACUGACAUUGAGGCUCGAAAGCGUGGGGAGCAAACAGGAUUAGAUACCCGGGUAGUC